UACGUAGGGGGCAAGCGUUGUCCGGAUUUAUUGGGCGUAAAGAGCUCGUAGGCGGCCGUCCACGUCGGAUGUGAAAGCUCGGGGCUCAACCCUGAGAGGCCAUUCGAUACGGGACGGCUAGAGGCAGGUAGGGGAAAGUGGAACUCCUGGUGUAGCGGUGAAAUGCGCAGAUAUCAGGAAGAACACCCGUGGCGAAAGCGGCUCUCUGGAACGGUACUGACGCUGAGACGCGAAAGCGUGGGGAGCGAACAGG
rnacentral:rRNA from 1 species